rnacentral:lncRNA from 1 species
GGUGAAGGCCAUGCUGCGAGAACUGGGGGAGUUGUGGGAGGACCUGCAGAGGAAGCACCAGGAGAAUGGCAUUGUGCUGCGAGAAAUUGAUAAGGCACUGAGGCUGGUGGGGGAGCUGGACCAGGCUGAGCAGUGGCUGCAAGCUGUGUCAGGGUCGCUCUCAGAACCAGCCGCCAUGAGAAGCCCGGCGGAGCUGCGCCAGGACCUGGAAGAGAUGGGCCAGCUGGAGAAGCAGCUCCUGACGUGUGGCCUCAAGCUGCAGGCACUGCGGGAGGAAACAGCAGGCGAGUCGCCCACUGAGCACGAGGGGGCGAGGAAGAUGCAGAGGAAAGUGGAGAUGGUGGAGGAGAAGUUGGCACAUGUGCAGGCAGCCCUGCGGCGCCGGGCAGCAGAUCUGCGGGACUCCCUGGUGCUGUCUGAGUUUCUGCAGGACCUACAAGAAGAGGAGGCACAGAACCAGCAGGGAUCUGCAGCGGUGAGCAGAACAGCCAGGCAUCCCUUGGGAUCACACAGCACCUGGGACUGGACCAAGGGUUGGUCUGUGGCUGGCAAGGGGACCCUAUUGGGUGCUCCCCUCCAGCCCAGCUGCCUGGGGUGUCACUCCCCAUCUCUCUUAUGCCUGGUGUUUCUGCUGGCUUCAGCCAGGGAGCAGGUGUUGCAGCUUGCAGGGGUCUUUUCCCCUACUGUCAGCCCAGGCUGAGCAGCCUCCGAGCAGUGAGGACAUGAGCAGCCCCUUGGGAGAGUUGCAGGAGGCUGUGGAGAUGCUGAAUGAUGCAGCGAAGGAGCGGGAGCGAGUCAUGGAGGUGGCAGCGGAGA